rnacentral:rRNA from 1 species
UGAGGAAUAUUGCGCAAUGGGCGAAAGCCUGACGCAGCGACGCCGCGUGGAGGAUGAAGGCCCUCGGGUUGUAAACUCCUGUCAGUGGGGAAGAGAACGGACGGUACCCACUGAGGAAGCUUCGGCUAACUACGUGCCAGCAGCCGCGGUAAGACGUAGGGAGCAAGCGUUGUCCGGAAUUACUGGGCGUAAAGAGCUCGUAGGCGGGAGCGUGCGUCUGAAAGGAAAUCUCAGGGCUCAACUCUGGGGCUUUUUCAGAUACGGCGCUUCUUGAGUGUAACAGAGGAAAGCAGAAUUCCCGGUGUAGCGGUGAAAUGCGUAGAUAUCGGGAGGAAUACCAGUGGCGAAGGCGGCUUUCUGGGUUACCACUGACGCUGAGGAGCGAAAGCGUGGGGAGCGA